rnacentral:ncRNA from 1 species
AAAAAGUUUUAUUCUUGCUUAGAAAUUUACUUUUCCAUUGAGUUAUAUGUAAGUUUUGUUUAACUAGAUGUUCUAAAUGCAGUAAUUUGAUUUAUUAAUUAAGUUGUCUUAGAAUUAGCAAUUGGAGUAGUAUUGGUUAAUUUUGUGCCAGCAGCCGCGGUUAUACGAUUAAUACAAGUAAAUGAUUUUGGUUUAAGCAGUUGUUUAUAUUUUAGAAUGUUUUUAUUAAUUUAUAAGGUGAAAUUUAAAAUUAUUAAUAUUUUUCUUAUUAUGAAUCUGUGAAACUUGAGAAUUAAACUAGGAUUAGAUACCCUAUUAUUUUAAGCUUAAAUAGAAUUUACCAGGGUAGUAUUAGUUAGGAUCUUGAAACCCAAAGAAUUUGGCGGUACCUUAUUCCAUUCAGAGGAACCUAUCCCGUGAUUGAUAGUACACGAUUUACUCUACUUAAUCUAUUGUUUGUAUAUCUCCGUUAUCAGAAAAUCUUUUUAGAGUUUUAAUUUUCUUGAUCCAUAAUUAUGGAUUAUUUCAGGUCAAGGUGCAGCUUAUGAUUAAGAGGAGAUGGGUUACAAUAAAUUUAGGUUUAUUACGGAUUACAGUAUUAGAUGUUGUAUGAAGGUGGAUUUGAUAGUAAUUUGAUUUAUUAAUUUAUUUGAUGUUGGCUCUGAGGUGUGUACACAUCGCCCGUCACUCUCAUUUCUAAUGAUUAUUAGGUUUUAAAGUGAGAUAAGUCGUAACAUAGUAGAUGUACUGGAAAGUGUAUCUAGUAAGUUUU